CAAAAAAUAGUUUAAUUAAAAUAAUAAUUUUGGAGAUUAUAGAUAAAUAAAAUAUUUUUUUUUGA
rnacentral:tRNA from 1 species